rnacentral:lncRNA from 1 species
GGUCGGCGUCUGAUCCCAGGUCUCGGGGGCUGUGUGGAGAUUCCUCCCUGGAGCAGGGUCACCCCAUGAGGAUGAGCCACAGAGGUUCAGUUCUUGGAGCAGAUAAGAGUUGUGCUGACCUUGGAAUCUUGGAGGAAAGCUGGGCUGGAAUGUGGCAGGAGAUACUUCAUGUGGAAUGUGUUCCUGAGGGUGUUACAAGUGCCUGGCUUUUCUGUGGGAAGUUUUAUGGAGGAUAUUGUUACAAGGUAAAUGGUCCUUCAUGUGCAAAGUUCUACUUUUGUGUCAAAAAGCCUUGGGAAUGCUCAGGGAAGAAGCGUGGGAUGUUUGACCUCAGAAAUGGGUCCUGUUUGGUAUAAAAUACCCAUUUUUUAGUGGUUUGUGUUUUUUGUGACCUUGGAGGAGUGUGGGGCUGACUAGUCAGCUUGGUGUCUGAGAAGGGGAAGGUGUCUGGGUUCCAGCAGCACUCCCAGGGCUGCUGCUUUGGGUGUGACACAGAACACAGCAAUAUUCCUGCUGUGCAGAUGUGGCAGGGAGUGGAACAGCAAGUGGCAAAGCUGGGUUUUGCUCCCUAAAUCCCAGAACAGCUGGGUUUAAGUUCCAUCAGCCAGAGGAGGGAAUGAGCCCUGGUGCCAGCCCUCCUGGGGGCACUGGACAGGUCUCACCAUUUCUCUGCCAUCAUUUGCAUGGUGUGAUUCUCCCUUGAGCAGAGAGGGCAGAAAAUGAGGCAGGAGGGGGAGCUCAUUUUGUUUCUGCAAACUCCAGGCUUGGGGCAGCUGCAGAGCACUUUGGGUUCAAAUAAUCCUGCCCAAAUACAUCAGCUCAAACCUCUCUUGAGCACUUUUGGAUCCCUCUGUGCCACUCCUCCUCUGAUCUUUUACCUGCGAGGUGUGGGCUCAGAAACAUCUGCCUGCUGGACAGGUUUUUACAUGUACAAAUUUAUUUUCUUAGAAAAGCCAUCGAGGUAAUGAAAAUCUGUGGAGAACAGGUGGUUGGUACACUAGGAAAUGCCAAAUCCCAGAGCAAUUCUGUGUCUGUAGCAUUAAGUGCAACAUCUUUAAAGCCAAGUGCUCAGUGUGGGCUUUUCACGUGGAUGCAAACGGUCCCAAAGCCGUUCCUGUGCCCCAAAAGCCAGAAGAAGCCUGCCAGAAGCAGCCUUCACUGCCUGUCUGGGAUUUCAGUUUGCUGCUGGAGCCUUCCCUCCAUCUUCCCUCGGGUUCUGACCCCGGAGCCACACAGGGCGUCUGUUGCCUUGGUAAGUGCCAAUGAAAUUUGCCAAGUCUGUCAGGAAAGCAGAACCAUCCUGGGGUUUGUUUGGCCAAAGGUGGAACAUGAAGAUGUCCGUACCAGUGGUGGGUGUGGGUGCUGGCAGUUUUGGGUUGUGUGGUGCCUCUGGUCCCUCAGCAGUCAGGGCACGGCUGAAGCAAGGAGGGAAGCUGCAGGUGAGGGCAAUAUUGGCUGUUUCUUGCUCCAGAACUGGGAGUGCUGGAAGAACAGCUUUCCUCCUUCUUUCUCUCCACCACUGAGCAGAACAUUAGGAUGGUGCUGCACUAAGCUCUCUCUUUUGUGGGUUCUUGCUUGGUUGUUGUUUUUUUGUUUGUUUGUUUGUUUUUUCUGGCUUUUUAAUGUAUUUCUAAGUGGUGCAGUGAGGAGCAAGUUGUUGGGUUGCAUGACUUCUGACUGACGUAUCACAGAAAUGGGCAUACGUGUGUGCACGUGCUUCCUGGCAAAUCCAGGUGUGACGUGGAAAUCCCAAGUGAGGAUGUCCAGCCUCGGCUACACGUGACACAGGCUUCUGAAAAUGGAAAUGGCCUUGGCAGAGUAGCAGCUGUGAAGCGAAGCAGAAUUAAAAUGCAUGAGAGCAGAAGAACCAAGUGAAAUGGUACUUCUGGGUGCUGUGUGCUCCUCUGGCCUCUGCCUGCUGUGAACACUCUGUGUUGCAGCUCGGUGUAGUCCAAUUCAGUGUUUGUUUGGUUUGAUUUUUGUGUGUAACAAAAACACUGCUCACUUACUCUAAACAAAUUCCCUCCUUUACUGGACACAUCCUGGAGUGGGACCAGACUCCCCCUCACCCUGGAGGAAUUCCCUGCUCCUCUGGAGAGGGGUGAAGCCAAAGCUUAGGAGCAAAGGCAAACCACCAAACCAGGGGCAUUCUAUAUAUAUCCAAAUAAGGGGCUCUGUCUUCCUGCUUUUCCUGUAGUUCUCCUUCCUGGUUUCACCUGGCCUGGAAGGAUGGGCAUGGCCUGUAUUUGUCAUAUGAAAAUGGUGUUACUAAAUCUGUCCAGAGGUUCUGAUUACAGACACUCAUUUUCUGCCAGAAAACAUUUUC